ensembl:lncRNA
CGUAACUGAUCUGCACGCCGAAGCCUCACCCGGUCUGCCUCGGGCUUAUUAAUGGUCAUCAAGCAGAGGACGUUAAUUUAGAGAGCUCCAAACCGGGUGGCCUUCGGGAGUCCGAGUCCUCGCGCUCCGAACUGGUGUCACAGACUGAGACGAGGGUCCAACCGAUGUUGGAGGUCGUCCUGUCUGCGCUCAAAGGGAAACGAGCGUGCUGCCUCGACCACAAAGCCUUCAUCAGGGACAAAUGCUGAAACAGGGCCUGUGGGAGACACCGAACCGCCCACAAGGCGCCACGGCAGAGAGUAACGAUGGACUCCUGACAGUAAAGAAAUGGAACGGAUAUGGAAUCUAUUCACCUUAUAUGUGGACAUAUCAGGAUCCUAUUAAGAAAAUGCUGAACUUAAUUAAAUGUAGUUAUUCUAAUACAGUAAAUAGUAAACAGUAC